rnacentral:lncRNA from 1 species
CUCUUUCUAAUAAAAAUGAGCCCUACCUAUGUAGCACUAGGUCUUAACCCUAAAUUCAAAACAGGCACACCGUUUUCUUUAGGCAUACCUCCUCUACACAACGAUGGGGGGUGGAGACUAUAAAUGCCCUGUUCUCUCUAAAGUAUGGGUAUCAAUAUCUAGGGCAAACACGUAGUACUUAAUUUAAGGUUAAAACAAAUAGUAAAUGGCUAUUUAAGCUUUCAUAUCGCUAUUGCAAACAUUUUGGAAAUGUCUGCUACUCCUGCAAUUAACCUGUUCCUCCUUGGUAAUUUUUAAAAGCCUAAUCUAUGGAAUGUUUGAUGAACCUUCCGACCAACACUGGAAACUAAAAGUACAGUCCAAACAUAUUGUGUUCAAUCACCCUAAGAGCCAUUUUUUGUG